rnacentral:rRNA from 1 species
CCCUUAGAUGUUCUGGGCCGCACGCGCGCUACACUGACGAAUGCAACGAGCUUAUAACCUUGGCCGAAAGGUCUGGGUAAUCUCCAAAUUUCGUCGUGAUGGGGAUAGAUUAUUGCAAUUAUUAAUCUUCAACGAGGAAUGCCUAGUAAGCGCAAGUCAACAGCUUGCGUUGAUUACGUCCCUGCCCUUUGUACACACCGCCCGUCGCUCCUACCGAUUGAAUGGUCCGGUGAAGCGUUCGGACCGUGGCCUUUGGACGGUUCGCCGUCUGUUGGCUGCGGGAAGUUCGUUAAACCUUAUCAUUUAGAGGAAGGAGAAGUCGUAACA